rnacentral:tRNA from 1 species
UGGCUCAGUGGUAGAGUGCUUGCCUUGAAUGCAUGAGGCCCUGGGUUCGAUUCCUUA